UCCACUCUAAACUCUAGCCCCUUAAAAGGCUUCAACCAUCAACUCCUUGCUACAAAGUCUCACAUCCUCAUCUAGCUCGGAUCAUCACCAAUAUGAUCUAAGCUAGCUAGAGAGAUAGGAAACUUCUCCACUUCUUCUUUAGCACUUGCUUAAAUCCAGAACCUAGAUGGGAUAAAAGUUAUGUCUUCACGAUUUUAGUACAUGUUGUAGGACUUCUCAAUCAAUUGCCCAUGCCAUAACUACCAACAAUACCAAGCAGGUCUAGUCAAAGAAUGCUAUUCUUGAAUGUAUGACAUGA
rnacentral:lncRNA from 1 species